UACGGAGGGAGCUAGCGUUGUUCGGAAUUACUGGGCGUAAAGCGCACGUAGGCGGCUAUUCAAGUCGGGGGUGAAAGCCCGGGGCUCAACCCCGGAACUGCCCUCGAAACUAGGUAGCUAGAAUCUUGGAGAGGCGAGUGGAAUUCCGAGUGUAGAGGUGAAAUUCGUAGAUAUUCGGAAGAACACCAGUGGCGAAGGCGGCUCACUGGCCCGGUACUGACGCUGAGGUGCGAAAGCGUGGGGAGCAAACAGG
rnacentral:rRNA from 1 species